rnacentral:tRNA from 1 species
GGCCGGUUAGCUCAGUGGUUUGAGCACGGUGCUGACAACAAGGACAACACCGCUGUCGCGGGUUCGAUUCCCACUCGGUCC